CAAAAAAAGCUUUUUCUUUUUUUUGAAAAUGUUAACAUUAAUGGCACAUAGAAAGCAUUCUCAUAAUAAAUUGAAUUCCAGCAACAGAAUGAUUAUAAAAAGGCAUGUUUGAUAACCGGAAUGCUUUCUAGAAGUUAGAACUUACCCAUUACUGUUUGUUUGAUAAAAAACAGUAAGGUGAAUAAAAAACUUACCUAUUACUAUUCAUGUUCACAGCUUUGUGUGCAAAAACGGUUCCAACCAAAAGGUCGGAACUUCAAAAAUUCCCCCGAUGACAUUUUGCCCUAAAAACAGUCUUAGAGCACUCAGCCACCCCUCUCGUCGCACUCAGCCGCUCGCUAGCAACCAGAACCAUCUCUGGUUCUCUCUCUCACUCACUCCUCUAUUGGUUACGUGCCCUAAAAAAGGCGCAACCACAACCAUCUAUGCCCUAAAAACGUGCCGAGAGUCAAAGAAGACGGAUGAGCAUGUGUUUUCAUCUUUCUCGAGGUAUGCUAUUGAGCUAUGAUUCUAUUUUAUUUUUUAUUUUUUAUUUAAAUAAUAUACUUAGCUGAGUUUUGGAGUGCAGGUGAACUAAAUAACAAUGAUUAAAAAAUAUUUUAAAUAAAAAAUAGUAAAAUACCCCUAAAUUUAUUGUGGUCAACAUUUUUUAUUCAAAAUAUUGUUUUUUAUUAAUUUUAUUCAAUCUUAUAAAAAUGAACCUAAAACCAAAAUUUCAGAUUGAUACAUUUUUAAAUAAAAAAUUAAAAAAAAAAAACGACAUUCAUUAUUAGCCCUAGGAUGAGCAUGGUUCAAUCCGAACCACUAAAAGGUGCACCUUUAAAGCGUCCUCAUGCUUUGGACGCAGUACCAAACCUAAACGAAGACCACACCUAUUUCAGAGACAGCUGUUAUAUAAACUAAUCAUAGAUAAUAAAAUGACCAAAUCAAAUCAUUAAAUUACAUAGAAACUUAAAUGACAGAAAUAAGAAUAUUAUCUUCCUUUUUCAUUGUUCAAAAUCGUAAAUAUACUAUUUUUUAGUUCCCCUUUUUACUGACGUGUCCAUGAUUGCAUCAAAACCAAGAGAUUGAGAAACAAAUUUGUCAUAAAAAAACCAAAUGUAGUCCACAAGAAAAAAGUUAACGGCAAAUGAAAUAAGAAACAAACAGUGUGUGGGAUUCAACAAUGUUUGUAAGUAAAAUCAUUUCAAUUUCCUAGAUCUUUUCUAUUGGAAGGGAUCUGCUAGAAAUAAACAUUCAAGCUCUUGACUUGGCAGUUAUGGUAGUAGGGGCCGCAACGGAACGUCCAUCAUCAAAUCACAGGUUCCCCACCAAUAAAAGAUAGAAAUACCAGCCAGCCUAAACAAAGUAUGUGCCACAAAACCCAAAUUCCCCUACUUGAAAAUGACUGAAAUAUUUUGUUUAACCUAAAUUCCCCUACUUGAAAAUGACUCUGAAAUAUCUUGUUUUUCAAAGUAACAGCUCAGGUAAAUAAAGAAGAAUCUUAGUUGAGAGAAAGUGAGAGAGCCUGGUAUGUCAGUAUGCUGACAUUUUGUUAGGUUGGAGAUGAAACCAAAAAUUGAAAUCUACUUCAGUAAUGACAAUGUCUCAUGAAAUUUUUUAAAAGGAAACUGUGGCAUUAAAAAUUUGCAUGACCCAUGCCUUUGAGAAUAUAAAUUUUUCAUAUUUCUUUAUUGUUAACAUUCUCAUAAUUUUGACAGUUUGAAAAAUUUGUAACCUCAGCCCAGGUUUGGAUAUCAUAAGCAACCUAUUUCUCUGUGUAUGGACAAGGUUUGAUCAUUUUCAAGUUAUGGUUGCUAAUACAAGAUAAUUAUAAUCAAGAACCCAUAAGAAAAAGAUGAUAGUGUUACAUAUUUAAAUUCAAGAAAAAGCAAAUAAAGAGGAGGAUAAAAGAAAUAUAAAGUUCUCAGACUCCAUGUGAUCCCAAGACCAUUUAAUUAAAAUAAUGAAUCAGAAAAACAAACGAAAUUAUGAUACUAAAAAGGUUAGUAAAUAUACCUCUUCGAAUUCAGAACAGAACCACCAAGGAUAAAACGUGUCCCCAAGUUGCUCACAUUUUGCAAUGCCAUCGUGCGUGCUUCUUCAUAUGUUGUCCCUCCAACAAUAAAGAUAACUACCUCCUGAUGCCUGCAAGAAUAUGCACUAGAUCAGAUGUCUAAUGGAAACUAACUCCCUCCAUUCGCUCCUCCAUAUCACGUCCGUUUGGCACAUUAAAAAGAAACCAAAUAUCAGUGAUUCAAAAAGCGGACCACCCAGUGCCUAGGCGGCCGCCUAGGCUGUCCGAAAGGCCUGGGCGCGGGCGCAUCGCCCAAGACUAGGCGCCCAGCCCUGGGCGGCCUGCGCCUCUCCAGGGGCGGAAAUAAGUUUUGGUAAGGGCAAUUUUGGUUUUGGUUUUUGUUUUUGGUACCAACAAUUAGUGUUUUAAGUUCAUUAGAAACCUAAAACUUAUUGGAGCCAAUUUUAGAUAGAGAAAGCCCCCCUAAAAACUAAUUUUUGGUGAAUUUUUUAGGAUCGAAGAGUUUCUCAAAAUUAACAAAAAUUGAUCAAAACAUCACCCAUUGAUCUUAGAUUUACUUUUUGAUGUUUUGCAGAGUUAUUAGGUUUUUUUUUAGAAGAUUUUGAGUAUUUAGAAGCAUCUUUGAGGUGAACGUUUAAAUAUUGAGCAAUCAAACUCAAAAUAAGUGCUUUUUUUAUUACUUCAGUAAAUUGCCUUAUUUUUGAAAUGUCUUCUUCGGGAUCUAAUAGGAAUGGUGAUCUCGAUUGGAAUACGGCUAUAACCCAAAUCCUAAUGAUAAAAAUUGCAUAAGAUGCAAGUUUUGUGAAAAGAAUACAAAAUGGGACAUAAACCGGUUCAAGAAACAUCCUGCCAGUAUCAGGGGGAUGUUGCCCCAUGUAAAAAGACUCAUGAUGCUGUUAAAGAGGAAAUAAACAAUUUUUUGAACAUGGUAAAAAUGAAAAAAGAUGAGAGAUUUGCCUCUAUAGCAGAGAUUAGGUCUAGGGUUCGGGUCAAUUAUGAUGAUGAUGAUAAUAGUGAUGAGGAAAGGAUUGGGGAGGGAUGUCAAGAGGUUGAACAAUCCAUUAUUAAGGGGAAGGGAAAGGGAGUUGUAAUUGCUUUUGGUUCUGGGACUAAGAAGCUUCAAGUUAGAGGCCCUAUGGAUAGUUUUUUACCUCAGCCUGACCCUGAGGUUGCAAGAGAGAAAACAAAGAAGCAAACCACUAUUGAAAAUAGAAUCAAGAAGGAAGAGAGAGAUAGAGCUUUGUAUUAUCUUGCUACAUGGUUUUAUGAGGCGGGCAUUCCUUUCAAUACCGCUCGCUUAAGCAACUUCUAUGCUGCGGUAGAGGCAAUUUGGCCUUGGGAUAUAACCCCCAACUCCAUAUGAGCUUUCAGAGCCUUUUUUAAAAAAUGUAGUCAGUGUCACGAAGGAAGUUGUAGAACUUAAGAAGGAUGCAUGGGCUCAGUAUGGGGUUUCUAUUAUGACUGAUGCUUGGAGUGCCAGGAAGAGAAGAAGUCAGAUGAAUUUGCUUGUGAAUUAUCAUGUAAGGACUGUUUUUUUUAAGCCUAUUGAUGCCUCUGAUCAUAUCCAUGAUGCCCAUUACAUAUUUCAAGUGAUAGAGAAGGGAAUCAAGGAGUUUGGGGAGCAUCUUGUUGUACAAGUUGUCACAGACAAUACUGCUCCUAAUGUUUGCUGCAUCUAAUUUGUUGCGCAUAGCUUAUCCUAGAAUCUUUUAGACACCAUGUGCAGCACAUUGUAUAAACUUCAUGUUUGAGGUUCUUGGCAGUUUAACCAAGAUAUCAGGUGCAGUGAAGAAAGCCAAGUUAGUUACAAAUUUCAUUUAUAGCCAUCAUCUCACCCUCAGCAUGAUGCGUACCUUUACAAAGAAAAAAUAGAUUGUGAGGCCUAAGGUCACGAGAUUUGCGACCUGGUACUUAUGCCUAGAUAGCAUACAUUCGAGGAGAGUGCAGUUGAGGCAAAUGUUUACUUCGGAUGACUGGAGAGCAUGCAAGUGGUCCAAGGAUCAAGUUGGGAAGAAGAUGAGAGAUAUUAUCCUUUCUAAGGCUUUUCGACGAGGGGUGAAGGGCGCUCUUAAGGUAUUUUUUCCUCUUAUCAAAGUCCUUCGCAUGGUUGAUAGUGACAAGCCUUCUAUGGGCUACAUGUAUGAUGCUAUGGAGAAAUGCAAAAGAGAGAUAGCCCAAAAUUUAAAUGAUGACGAAACCCGCUACAAGCCUGUUUGGGAGAUUAUAGAUGAGAAGUGGGAUAGGCAGCUACAUCAGCGAUUGCAUGCAGCUGGUUAUUAUUUGAACCCAGCUUUUUUUUAUAUUGACAAGGAUAUACAAACAAAUGACACAAUUAUGAAUGGAUUUAAUGAGUGUGUAGAUGUGUUAGUCCCUGAUCCUGAUAUGCAGGAUAUUAUAUACACUAAUGAGCUGAUAAAUUACAAGUGCUCAUUAAAGUCUUUUGAGAGUCCAAUGGCGAUGAGGCAAAGGACCAAAAUUAAUCCAGGUAUUUAAUAUUCUUAAGUUCAUCAAGUUCAGGUAUUCAAGUAGUUCUAUUAUUUGUUUAUGAUUUUUUUCUAUAUCUUUGCGGCCCAUUGGUGGAGCCAACAUGGGUGUAGUUCUCCAAAUUUACAAAAGUUGGCCAUUCGGAUCUUAAACCUAACCACUUCUUCAUCCAGUUGUGAGCGCAAUUGGAGUACGUUUGAAGGGAUAAGACCGUAACUAAGGGUAAUUUGUAUAAUUUUAUAAAUAAUACAUGAACCAUAGAUAUUAGAUUUUAAUUAGUUUCAUUUGAUUUUGUUAAAAUCAUACAAAAAAAAGAACAGGCUUAAAUCAAAGAGACUCAAUGACCUAGUCUAUGUCAAGUACAAUCGAUUCUUGAAAGACACGUUUGCUAAGAGAGAUGAGAGAGACCCUAUCAGAUCAAAAAAUAUGGAUUAUGCUAUGGAGUGGUUAGUUAAUGAUGAUGAGGUCGAGAGGUAUGAAGGAUUGACAUGGGACAUGUUCAUGGAUGCUUCAGGAACAUCAGCUGACCCUCCUAGGGCUGCUAGAUCUUCUGCACAGAGAACAAGGGUGGAUGAAGAAGAGGCUGAUUCAAAAGAGACGGAGGAGGACGACGACGACCACUAUGUCGAGGAAGGUGACGACUCUGUCGACUCUGAUGAAUAUGAUGCCAAUGCAACUGACCCAAGAUUUUCUGAUGAU
rnacentral:lncRNA from 1 species